rnacentral:rRNA from 1 species
GAGGAUCGAGUGAGGCUUUGGGUCACCUCCCACCCGUGUUUAUUUUACCUUGUUGCUUCGGCGGGCCCGCCUUUACCGGCCGCCGGGGGGCUCACGCCCCCGGGCCCGCGCCCGCCGAAGACACCCCCGAACUCUGUCUGAAGAUUGAAGUCUGAGUGAAAAUAUAAAUUAUUUAAAACUUUCAACAACGGAUCUCUUGGUUCCGGCAUCGAUGAAGAACGCAGCGAAAUGCGAUACGUAAUGUGAAUUGCAAAUUCAGUGAAUCAUCGAGUCUUUGAACGCACAUUGCGCCCCCUGGUAUUCCGGGGGGCAUGCCUGUCCGAGCGUCAUUGCUGCCCUCAAGCCCGGCUUGUGUGUUGGGCCCCGUCCUCCGAUUCCGGGGGACGGGCCCGAAAGGCAGCGGCGGCACCGCGUCCGGUCCUCGAGCGUAUGGGGCUUUGUCACCCGCUCUGUAGGCCCGGCCGGCGCUUGCCGAUCAACCCAAAUUUUUAUCCAGGUUGACCUCGGAUCAGGUAGGGAUACCCGCUGAACUUAAGCAUAUCAUAGGGAGGGAGGAA